rnacentral:rRNA from 1 species
GAUGAACGCUGGCGGCGUGCCUAAUACAUGCAAGUCGAGCGAACGGACGAGAAGCUUGCUUCUCUGAUGUUAGCGGCGGACGGGUGAGUAACACGUGGAUAACCUACCUAUAAGACUGGGAUAACUUCGGGAAACCGGAGCUAAUACCGGAUAAUAUUUUGAACCGCAUGGCUCAAAAGUAAAAGACGGUCUUGCUGUCACUUAUAGAUGGAUCCGCGCUGCAUUAGCUAGUUGGUAAGGUAACGGCUUACCAAGGCAACGAUGCAUAGCCGACCUGAGAGGGUGAUCGGCCACACUGGAACUGAGACACGGUCCAGACUCCUACGGGAGGCAGCAGUAGGGAAUCUUCCGCAAUGGGCGAAAGCCUGACGGAGCAACGCCGCGUGAGUGAUGAAGGUCUUCGGAUCGUAAAACUCUGUUAUUAGGGAAGAACAUAUGUGUAAGUAACUGUGCACAUCUUGACGGUACCUAAUCAGAAAGCCACGGCUAACUACGUG